CUAGGUUCUUAAAAUCUUUGGCCCUCAUUCCCGGGGGGAGGCUCAAUUUCUUAGUAAGGGCAUCAUUGGGGAGGGGAGUCCGUAUUUCUGGGUGUAUCUAUCCCAGAUCAGUAUGGAGUUAAGGAUCGCAGGGCAUUUGGUGCGCAAGAUAGCUCUUGCCGAUGUAGAACUGUCUGACCCUGUCAAUCCCGCCUCCAGAUCUGCCCAUCUCCUCUCCCCCGGGGGCGCAUGCCACAUCGCUACCUGGGAGAGCUGUGCUGCCAGGUAAUAGUAAAAGAGAU